rnacentral:rRNA from 1 species
UGGGGAAUAUUGCACAAUGGGCGAAAGCCUGAUCCAGCCAUGCCGCGUGUGUGAAGAAGGUCUUCGGAUUGUAAAGCACUUUAAGUUGGGAGGAAGGGCAUUAACCUAAUACGUUAGUGUUUUGACGGUACCGACAGAAUAAGCACCGGCUAACUCUGUGCCAGCAGCCGCGGUAAUACAGAGGGUGCAAGCGUUAAUCGGAAGUAAUGGGCGUAAAGCGCGCGUAGGUGGUUUGUUAAGUUGGAUGUGAAAUCCCCGGGCUCAACCUGGGAACUGCAUUCAAAACUGACUGACUAGAGUAUGGUAGAGGGUGGUGGAAUUUCCUGUGUAGCGGUGAAAUGCGUAGAUAUAGGAAGGAACACCAGUGGCGAAGGCGACCACCUGGACUAAUACUGACACUGAGGUGCGAAAGCGUGGGGAGCAAACA